rnacentral:misc_RNA from 1 species
CAGAGUUUUCUAAACUCCCAACCCUAUGUGAACUUACCUUUGUUGCCUCGGCGGGGCCUACCCGGUACCGACCCCUUUUGGGAGAGGUUACCCUGUAGCCCGCCGGUGGAUUUUCAAACUCUUGUUAUUUUAUGUAAUCUGAGAGUCUUAUUUUAAAUAAGUCA